AGAUAGCUAGUCUAGCAUAGUCAGGCUCCUGAGGAUGCCAGCCCUUCUGGUAGCACUGCAAGUGAUUAAAGCUUACAUGACUGCUUUUCUUCCACAGUGUGAUGUAUCUACUUCCAGGUUCUUGUAUAACUGCCACACGUUUCUGCUUGAUAUAUACCUAUCAAAAGCUUGACAGUAGUAAAUACUUAUGCAGGAGGGGCUGGCCAGAUGAUGAGUGAGCUCAUAUCCUUUUGAUCGCUUGUGGAAUUGCUUUGUACUAAACUGUGCUUUGCCAGUAUACUAUUCCUGCUUUUAUGCCAGAGGUAGCAAAUUUUUUGUGUGAAAAAUCAGACCUUGGCGAUGACCUUAAACAGCAGGAUAUGAAGAACUCCCACAAGCUUAGCGUUCCAAUAAUGGAACACUAGGCAUAAAUGGGUUAACUGAAGAGAAUAUUUGCAGUGUUAACCCUAUAAAACUCACCUUUAUAAUUUCUGUGAGGAAUAUUGUUAGAAAUGUUGUCAUACAUGAAGUGACACUAUCUGUCUGGAAAAAUUUUCCUCAGCCUGUGGUUCUCCCACUUCUCCCUCUUUGUUCUAGCAAUGAAUCACAAAACAGAUUGGGUUUCCAUCCUUGAAUCAGAUCCUAGGAAGAUCAGAGUUAAAUUUGGACCCAAUUUUUUAGCUUUUCUUUUUCAAUUUCUUUGCUUCCAUAUUUAAAUGUAUCUUAAAAACUUUUUUAAAGCCACUUCAAAACCAUUCUGAAAUGCAAUGAAGUAUAAAGAGACAUUCUAUUUUUUGACACAAAAACGAGAACUCACUUAAUUUUGCCGUAGUUUAUGGAUAAUUUUACAUUUUUAGCAAUAAUUGUCCUUUCACACUCACAAAUUCAUAUAAAUAUAAUUCAAAGAAUAAAAGUGUUUUUUUAGUAACUGUAGAGGCAUUGGUGCAUAUUGGGAAAAACCUUAGUGGACUUGAGGAGUAAAGGCUUUUAAACCUUAUCUAAAGGUCGCAAAGAUACCAUGUAGAUUAUUAAGAGUUGGUUUACCAGAAAGGUCAAUGAUUUCUUAGACACAUUUAAAAAUAGUCUGACAUCCUCAUCUGUGAACAUUUUAAAUUUUUCUUAUUGAACUAGAUUGCUUAAGUCUGCUUAAUCUCAAAGUGGCUCUCAUAUGAUUGAAAUGUUGACAGAUGCAAGGGUAGACACUCUAGUCCAGGAAUUCUGUUUUAGGUUUUUCUACAUUUUCCUUUGAGGCAUAACCUAACUGUUUACUUCUUCCAGGCAGGAGCUAACAUGAUUGUGUCUGGCAGUGCUAUUAUGAGGAGUGAAGACCCCAGAUCUGUGAUCAAUCUAUUAAGAAAUGUUUGCUCAGAAGCUGCUCAGAAACGUUCUCUUGAUCGGUGAAACCAUAAGGAGCCCAGUGUUCCUGUUCAUGAAAUCUCCCUUUUACUGGAAAACAGGAAUAUUGACUACCAAAUCACAAUGCAAUUGAAGCCGUACUGCUUUUUUGAGCAGUUAUUCAUUCCAGUGAUUAAAACUGAUUGUGCAGAAUAUUCUAAGAGGUCAGAAAUUGGUGUGUAUAACUACAUUUUUAGUGAUGCAAUUUAUUGAUUAGUGAGUAAGAUACUGUUUUUAUUGAGAGAUUUGAUUUUUAUAAAGUAAAAAUACGGCUGCAUUAGGGUUACAAACAGAAAAGUGUCUUAAUGUCUAAGGAGGGCAUAUUAGCUACACUACAAAAACAAAUUUUGUCUGUACUUCUGAAAAGAAUUUUGUUGUUUCUCAGCUGUUUUCCAAAAGCAAAGGAAGUCUUUAUGGUUUUUUUCUAUUUCAUGUUAUUGUGAUUUGUUUAUAAGUUUGGGUGGGGUGCAUACCAUAUUCUUGGUUCUUAAAAUCUAUCACUUUUCACCUUACACUUGAUGUGUGAAAACUAUAAAAACAAUGUGUGAAACCCAGGGGUUCUAAAAUACAAGCAUAGAUUUUAUCAGGGUGUUUUGUCAAAGCAGGUUAUUCAGUGAUUCCUCCCCACCAUUCUUAAGAACGUUAAAUAAUGCUGUUGUGUUAGCUCUGAGUAGAAAGGAAAAAGUAAAACCUCUGUUUGGAGGUAAUAUUGGGUUGAAUUCUGACUGCCCCUUUCUAGCUGGACCUUUAACAAAUCACCCAAUCUUUUUUGUGUUUCUCUAAAGUCAUUUAUACAUUAAAUGUAAUUAUAGCAACUGUGGGGUUCUGUUGAGAAUUAAGAGCUAACACUAUAUAUGUAAAGUUUCCAGUACUAGUCCCAGAAUUUAGAAUAUGCUCAACACAAAGUAAACAGCAUUAUAUAAGUUUAUAUUUUUGUGAGUUAUAAAGUACUUUGAUAUAUUCUCAUUAAAUCUGUAAAUCACCUCUAUAAGUAAGUGGUAAUAAUAAAGCAGAUAUUUUUGUCCCCAUUUAAAAAAUGAAGAAAUUAAUGCUUAAUAGGGUGGUACCCUGGAAAGGAUCUGGGAAGUGGUAGAAUUUCUGGUCUGUACUUUUACAAAUGGAGCCCUUGGGAGGUGGGUUAGGUAAAAGAAGCUUUUUACUUAACGUUGUCUUAUUUCCAGUCUAAUUUUACGCUGUAGCAGAACCAGAUGGCUGAGAAAAUUCUGGAACUAUGGAUCUUGACCCCAAGGAUAUAUUAUUUUAUUCCAAGAAAGAUCAGUUGUGCAGAAGAUUCUGACCUUAUUUGAGGCUUACAUAUAGGUUUGGAGAUGUGGAAAGGAGUGGAAAAAGAAAUAUGUAAGCUGAAGUGCCAAACUCACACUGAAAUAAAGGGCAUGGCCUACCAGCUGACAAGGAGUGUCUGGUUUCAAGAUGGCAAAUGACCCUAAACAUGAUAGACAAAUACGUUUUACAUAGGUACAUGCACAGAUAGGCACAUAUAAAUCCACAUUUGCAAGCAAAAAGUGGAACCUGUAAAGCAGAAUUUCUGAGGAAUCUCUAAAAGACUAAUACUAUAUGGAAUUUGAAGAGGAAACCCAGAGCAGAAGCACAUAGUGAAGUACUGCCACAAAGAUGUGUGACGCCACUAAAGGUGCUCUAGACCCACAAGAAAGGAAAACUGGGAGCAGGACAACUAUCUGGAUAUUGACUGCACAUGCCAAUAUCUCAGUCAGACUAACAGAAUCAGAGCUUUAGGCAGAGAAAUGAAUGGUUGGAGAGAGAAGGCAAUGCCCAGGUGCCCUGCUUUGAAAUGUCCCGCCCAUCCCCAAAUUAGUCUGAAAAUUUCAAAUGUUGUAUAAAUUCCCUUCCCAUCAAAAGUGUCCCAUAAACAGCAGUGGUAGAAGAGUUUUAACUGAGUAUCACAGCUUCAAUGAUGAGUAUAGAAAACUCCAAAAAUCUGAAUACCAACACAAUCAAAAAAGAGGUACAAACCACAAGUGGAAGAACCAUCUCAAGAAAUAAUGAAGCAUUCAUGGAAUACAGAUUAGCAACUCUUUAAAACAGUAUUGCCAAGAGAAACAGAUGGCAUUGCAGUUGUCAGAUCUCAUUAAGGUCUUAUAUCUGAAACAGUUCCACUGUCUUCCAUAACUUUCAUAACUUUGAACAUUUUGUCUCGGGACAAAUUCCAACAAGUGAAAUCGCAUCAUUAAAAGGCUCAUAGGCGAAAGGGAAUUGCCUUAUUUCGAAUGAGACUUUGGACUGUGGACU
rnacentral:lncRNA from 1 species